rnacentral:rRNA from 1 species
AGCAGCCGCGGUAAUUCCAGCUCCAAUAGCGUAUAUUAAAGUUGUUGCAGUUAAAAAGCUCGUAGUUGAAUUUCGAGACCGGCUUACUGGUCGUGCUAUUGUACGUACUGGUAUAAUCGGUUUCUCCUUUCUGACGAACUAUAAUGCCAUUAAUUUGGUGUUUUAGGGAAUCAGGACUGUUACUUUGAAAAAUUAGAGUGUUUAAAGCAGGCUCACGCUCGAAUACAUUAGCAUGGAAUAACGGAAUAGGACGUUUGAUUCUAUUUUGUUGGUUUCUAGGAUCGACGUAAUGAUUAAUAGGGAUAGUUGGGGGCAUUAGUAUUCAAUUGUCAGAGGUGAAAUUCUCGGAUUUAUUGAAGACUAACUACUGCGAAAGCAUUUGCCAAGGAUGCUUUCAUUAAUCAAGAACGAAAGUUAGGGGAUCGAAGACGAUCAGAUACCGUCGUAGUCUUAACCAUAAACUAUGCCGACUAGGGAUCGGAUGAUGUUAAUUUUUUAUGUACUCA